rnacentral:rRNA from 1 species
AUUGAACGCUGGCGGCAUGCCUUACACAUGCAAGUCGAACGGCAGCACGGGUGCUUGCCCCUGGUGGCGAGUGGCGAACGGGUGAGUAAUACAUCGGAACAUGUCCUGUAGUGGGGGAUAGCCCGGCGAAAGCCGGAUUAAUACCGCAUACGAUCCACGGAUGAAAGCGGGGGACCUUCGGGCCUCGCGCUAUAGGGUUGGCCGAUGGCUGAUUAGCUAGUUGGUGGGGUAAAGGCCUACCAAGGCGACGAUCAGUAGCUGGUCUGAGAGGACGACCAGCCACACUGGGACUGAGACACGGCCCAGACUCCUACGGGAGGCAGCAGUGGGGAAUUUUGGACAAUGGGCGAAAGCCUGAUCCAGCAAUGCCGCGUGUGUGAAGAAGGCCUUCGGGUUGUAAAGCACUUUUGUCCGGAAAGAAAUCCUUGGCCCUAAUACGGUCGGGGGAUGACGGUACCGGAAGAAUAAGCACCGGCUAACUACGUG